UACGAAGGUCCCAAGCGUUGUUCGGAAUCACUGGGCGUAAAGGGUGCGUAGGCGGUUAGGUAAGUCAGAUGUGAAAUCCCGGGGCUCAACCCCGGAACUGCAUCCGAUACUGCUUGACUUGAGGACUGGAGAGGUGACUGGAAUUCUCGGUGUAGCAGUGAAAUGCGUGGAGAUCGAGAGGAACACUCGUGGCGUAAGCGAGUCACUGGACAGUAUCUGACGCUGAGGCACGAAGGCCAGGGUAGCGAAAGGG
rnacentral:rRNA from 1 species